GACGAACGCUGGCGGCGUGCUUAACACAUGCAAGUCGAACGGAAAGGCCCUGCUUUUGUGGGGUGCUCGAGUGGCGAACGGGUGAGUAACACGUGAGUAACCUGCCCUUGACUUUGGGAUAACUUCAGGAAACUGGGGCUAAUACCGGAUAGGAGCUCCUGCUGCAUGGUGGGGGUUGGAAAGUUUCGGCGGUUGGGGAUGGACUCGCGGCUUAUCAGCUUGUUGGUGGGGUAGUGGCUUACCAAGGCUUUGACGGGUAGCCGGCCUGAGAGGGUGACCGGCCACAUUGGGACUGAGAUACGGCCCAGACUCCUACGGGAGGCAGCAGUGGGGAAUAUUGCACAGUGGGCGGAAGCCUGAUGCAGCAACGCCGCGUGCGGGAUGACGGCCUUCGGGUUGUAAACCGCUUUCGCCUGUGACGAAGCGUGAGUGACGGUAAUGGGUAAAGAAGCACCGGCUAACUACGUGCCAGCAGCCGCGGUGAUACGUAGGGUGCGAGCGUUGUCCGGAUUUAUUGGGCGUAAAGGGCUCGUAGGUGGUUGAUCGCGUCGGAAGUGUAAUCUUGGGGCUUAACCCUGAGCGUGCUUUCGAUACGGGUUGACUUGAGGAAGGUAGGGGAGAAUGGAAUUCCUGGUGGAGCGGUGGAAUGCGCAGAUGUCAGGAGGAACACCAGUGGCGAAGGCGGUUCUCUGGGCCUUUCCUGACGCUGAGGAGCGAAAGCGUGGGGAGCGAACAGGCUUAGAUACCCUGAUAGUCCACGCUGUAAACGGUGGGUACUAGGUGUGGGGUCCAUUCCACGGGUUCCGUGCCGUAGCUAACGCUUUAAGUACCCCGCCUGGGGAGUACGGCCGCAAGGCUAAAACUCAAAGGAAUUGACGGGGCCCCGCACAAGCGGCGGAGCAUGCGGAUUAAUUCGAUGCAACGCGUAGAACCUUACCUGGGUUUGACAUGGAUCGGGAGUGCUCAGAGAUGGGUGUGCCUCUUUUGGGGUCGGUUCACAGGUGGUGCAUGGCUGUCGUCAGCUCGUGUCGUGAGAUGUUGGGUUAAGUCCCGCAACGAGCGCAACCCUUGUUCACUGUUGCCAGCACGUUAUGGUGGGGACUCAGUGGAGACCGCCGGGGUCAACUCGGAGGAAGGUGGGGAUGACGUCAAGUCAUCAUGCCCCUUAUGUCCAGGGCUUCACGCAUGCUACAAUGGCUGGUACAGAGAGUGGCGAGCCUGUGAGGGUGAACGAAUCUCGGAAAGCCGGUCUCAGUUCGGAUUGGGGUCUGCAACUCGACCUCAUGAAGUCGGAGUCGCUAGUAAUCGCAGAUCAGCAACGCUGCGGUGAAUACGUUCCCGGG
rnacentral:rRNA from 1 species